AGGAACCUGGUCUGUUCCCCGUGGAGAUGAUAGUGUUACUUUAUGGGUUCUCCGCCCGUGCUUUGUUUGAGUACCUUCUGGAGUAUUGUUCCGAAAAAUGAAGACUCGCUAAAAUUAAAUUUUCCAUAAUACGGAAAUUAACUAUCGUUCCCAUCAUGCAGCGAGGCGCUUGAUUCCCGCCCUUAGUACGGAAUUGUGAAGAUACAAACAACUGUAACAUAUGAUUCUUGCCUUGAGAAACGUACCAUCAAUCAGGAAGUCCUACUCUGAAAAAAAAAAUACAUGCUAACAGGACUUGGGGUACCCUCAGCAACAGAAAACCCGAGGCUCUCAGAGGACUGCCCCUCAGGAGUUCCCUUUGAGCUCUACCAACUGAUGCGGCAGUCAGGCCAGGUCCUUGAAGUUUCCUGGACACUGUCUGCUGGGAGGGACCACUUGAUGUGCUGCUCGAGAAAGAGUACAUCACGAGAAACACUGGGCUGGAGGAAGCACAAGCUGGAAUCAAGAUUGCCGGGAGAAAUAUCAAUAACCUCAGAUAUGCAGAUGACACCACCCUUAUGGCAGAAAGUGAAGAAGAACUAAAGAGCCUCCUGAUGAAAGUGAAAGAGGAGAGUGAAAAAGUUGGCUUAAAGCUCAACAUCCAGAAAACUAAGAUCAUGGCAUCCGGUCCCAUCACUUCAUGGCAGAUAGAUGGGGAAACAGUGGCUGACUUUUUUUUUCUGGGCUCCAAAAUCACUGCAAAUGGUGAUUGCAGCCAUGAAAUUGAAAAAUGCUUACUCCUUGGAAGGAAAGGUAUGACCAACCUAGACAGUAUAUUAAAAAGCAGAGACAUUACUUUGCCAACAAAGGUCCGUCUAGUCAAGGCUAUGGUUUUUCCAGUAGUCAUGUAUGGAUGGGAGAGUUGGACUGUAAAGAAAGCUGAGCACCGAAGAAUUGGUACUUUUGAACUGUGGUUUUGGAGAAGACUCUUGAGAGUUCCUUGGACUGCAAGGAGAUCCAACCAGGCCAUCCUAAAGGAGAUCAGUCUUGGGUGUUCAUUGGAAGGACUGAUGCUGAAGCUGAAACUCCAAUACUUUGGCCACUUGAUGCAAAGAGCUGAUUCAUUUUAAAAAGACCCUGAUGUUGGGAAAGAUGGAGGGAAGGAUGAGAAGGGGAAGACAGAAGAUGAGAUAGUUGGAUGGUAUCACCGACUCAGUGGACAUGGGUUUGGGUAAACUCCGGGAGGUGGUGAUGGACAGGGAGGCCUGGUGCUGCGGUUCAUGGGGUCGCAAAGAGUCGGACAUGACUGAGUGACUGAACUGAACUGAAGUUCAACUGAAGUUGCUUGUAUUAAACUAUAUCUCUGUAAUGCACUUUCUGAUGCUAUGGGAUUCACCUCCUCGGAUACAACUGAGCAACUUAGCUGAACUGAACUGAAUAGUUGAUUUACAAUGUUGUAAUUGUUUCUUCUAUACAGCAAAGUGGGGCUUCCCAGGUGGCUCAGUGGUAAAGAAUCCACCUGCCAGUGCAGGAGAUGUGUUUGAUCCCUGGGUGGGGAAGUUCCCCUGGAGAAAAAAAUGGCCACCCACUCCGGUAUUUUUGCCUGGGAAAUCCCAUGGACAGAGGAGCCUGGCAUGCUACAGUCCAUAGGGUCAAAAAUAGUUAAACAUGACUGAAGCAACUUAGCACCCAUGAAGUAUGUCAAUUCCAGUCCCCCAACUUAAUGCCCCCUCUCUUUGCCUGGUGGCUCAGCCGGAAAAAAAUCUGCCUGCAAUGCAGGAGACCUGGGUUUGAUCCCUGGGUUGGGAAGAUCUUCUGGAGAAGGGAAUGACAACCCACCCCAGUAUUCUUGCCUGGAGAAUCCCAUGGACAGAAGAGCCUGGCGGGCCACAGUCCAUGGGGUCACAAAUAGCGACCACUGAGCAACCAACACUUUGACUUUCAUUUGUCCCUUAAAAACUGUACAUUUGUUUUCUACAUCUGUGACUCUAUUUCUGUUUUGUAAAUAAGUUCAUUUGUACCAUUUUUUUUAGAUUCUACAUAUAAGCAGUGUCAUACGAUAUUUGUCUUUGACCAUGCUGACUUGAAGACUGAUGGUUAAUAUUUUCUAUAGUGUAAGAAAAUACUUAUGAUUUAAUGUCAAACUAUUUUUUUUAAAAAAGCAGAAGACAAGUCUGUAAGUAUCCAAAAUAUGU